CUCUGGUUGCCCUGAGAAGACAGGAAAACUGAGCAGUAUCUUAUAGUACAACAUGUUCCAAUUAAAGGUCUUCAUUGCUUGUAUGGAGAAAUCCUUGWUGCUCCUUAUUGGAUUCUAAAGUCCYAUUAAUAACUCACAUGUGACCUGCGCAUGAKGACCUUCCAUAUACAUUUCAUUUAACAUACUSUCCAWGUCAUAUUAUUACYACCUCAACAUUCCUCCCCACCAUCACWCAGCGAAAGWUYAUCAUAAAUCAGAAUUGAACAACCUGUGACAAUACAAUAARGGAAUUUGAUARAAAGAAAACAGUUCACACAAUAUCCAAUGUGGUUGAWCCGAAUCAUGUCACUACAGAAUCAAAUUAUCCAUCUAGAUGCAUAAUAAUGACAUCACCUUUGCAACCUAACGGUGUCAGUUCCCCCAGUUAUCACAGUCCGCUUGUUCACAGUCCCAUGGUUGUCCAGGAACCACGACCCCAUCGAGACACAAAAUAACAAAAAUAAACACAUCAACAAAAUAACUUUCAAAACAACGUCACAGUUACAAUCACAACCUUAAGGAACAUUUCAUGAAGGAUGUAACAAUUAUGCAUUAUCAAUUCUCAAAGGAUAUUGUUGCUUCAACUCACUCAGCCAGUACUCAGAUUCAGCCAUUCUCCUGGGCAAACAGCCCUACCUGAUUGCAGUUCCUGAAACAUAGUUCUGAUGGGAAUAUACAUUAAAUGGGAUUGAGUUAUGUUUGGGAUUAUUUAAAUUUAUUGAUCAGGGUUUUCAUGCAAGAGAAAGAACAAGGAAAGAAGCAAGGGUAUGGCGAUAGAAUCAGAAACCCCCUUCUCCUCUGGAAGACCUCCAUCUUCACUCAAAGGACUUAGAUAAGUUGUUUGUAUGUACGUAGAAGCAUAGUUGAUCAGAUAUGCUGGAUACCUUUAGUUCAAUCCAGCGCUGUGAAGCUUAACUAUUCACAUUAUCACAUGAGUCAUCUCUACCACACAGCGCUUAUGUAAUGGCUAGGUAUAAAUUGUGAAAAUACCCCCCUAUGACCAUAACUACCCCACUAUGGAAAAGGAAAUUAUCAAUUGAAGUGUCCAAAUCAAUAUCCAUCAACUAUUUAGUUUAUUUUUAGUGCCACAACUGUCAAUUAUUGAUAGUUCUCAAUUUAGUUUUACAAAUGUGAUGAAACUUUUCCCUGUACAUCUUAUAACAUAACUGUCAUACAAUCUCUUCUCCUGAUUCCACCUUCAAUUCAACACUAUGCUACUCAUUUAGAAUAUAAUAUGUCCAUUUAUUUAUUAAAGGCCAUAUAAGGAAUUUGUCUUAAAAGUUGUACUUCAACCUGUCAGCAGUUUGUUUCCUAUUAGCUCGCAUACAGGUCUUUUGUCAAGCCCAUUGAUUUAAAUUUAACUGGUUCGUGAUUUGGAAUUAAAUAAGAUUGUUGCAGUUUUAUUCUACAUUUAACUCUUUUACAUAGUCUCUAACUUUCAGUUGUCAUGGGUAGAUUUUAUGCCAUAGGUAAAAGAAGCCUCAACUUAAGUGUACUUCUUAAAUGUUAACCAAGUCUUUCAGCAAGCUUGUUGAAUUUCGUUCCUCUGUGAAAUGUUUUGCCUCUCCAGCUUAGAAAAUUUUAACCCUUCUUAAACUCUCUGGAUUUGCUUUUGUGCUGAAAAGGUGCUUGUGAAUUAAAAUUACAUUACCUUGAGUACUUUAAUUUAAUUCCAUUAGAGUAGUCUUACCUAAUUGCCAACCCAUUUAUUAAAAAUUCUUCUAUCUGAAGAAGAACUGUCGUACUUAGACGUAAGUCAUAAUAUUAAAUGUACACUGUGUGUCAGAAGUGACUCCAAUGUUUGUUCGGUUCAAUAGCAUAGGUUCAAUAGAAAGCUGUUAUAUUGAGUUUUAAUGACCAACAUCAGGAGAGAUCUGUUCUAGGUCCCUGCAGUUCUGAUGACCUAAAUCAAGAAUUAACAUUAGCCAUAUUUUCACUUUGUGUUUCAUUAUACCGUCUCUCCAGAUUUCACUCCUCCUGUUUUGGAGAUAUUUAGGUGUCUUCCAUCAGGAGAAGGCGGCUAGAAUAGGACAGAUUUACAGCUUCUGAAAGACAGAUCUAAAAGCAGAAACAAUUAGUGCUUUUGAUUAGACAAAGCAUGCAAUCAAACCCUGGUCCUGUCUUUACUUUGCUAUACUAAGGCUGAACCUGUUGUCCUGGUCGGAAUAUAAAACAUUUCUUCUCCCAUAAUGUAAUGCUGACAAAAUGUUUGUAAUUGACAAAUAUAGCAAAAUCAGAUUGAUGCCAGAUACAACUUCUUCAUAGUGACAGAAACAAAUUUAUGGCCAAUCAAACAGAAACCCAUGAUAUUUUAACCUCAGAGUAAAAUUUCAAGUUCUCUACAUGAGUUAAAAUAAAAAUACAGAGAAAAAAAUGAACUGAAGUGUACAUUCUGUCUGUUGAUGAAAGGGUACAAAUGAAACACCUACUGCAGAGUUCAAAUAAAUUUAUGAAUUUUCAAAACAAUUUCUGAUUUAUGUGUCUCUUAGCAUUGUUUUGAGUAUGAUUUUUUAUGUAGUAUUGCCAUAUUGAAGACUGAAUCUAUUUGGGUUUCUACCAAUUGUUUUGUCUCUAACAUCAACUGUUUAAUGCAAAAACCCUAUUGAGACGCAGUUCCUAGAAUUAAAUAUAUUUUGGUCUAACCUUUAACCUGCUGACCCCCCUUGAAAAUAUUCCUGGCUCUAAGAUAGGAACUUCAUCCUUGUCAGGUUCACUUGAGCUUUUAAUUAUCUGACUCCUUUACUAUCCAGUUGUUUCUUCAUUCUUUUUCCUUUCACUCCUAAAGGAACAAUAUCUGUCUCAUAUCUAGUACAGUAUAGUGUUAUAAAUUAUUUUGUCAUGGGAGAACUCAUGACCUUCAAUUUUGACAGAAUAUGUUAGUUUAGUUUAGAACAAUUUAGACAAGGUGUUAACCAGCAACCUUUGAACUAGAAUUCAGAGAAAAAAUAUUAGAAUGAAAAUAGCAUUUACACCCACUUUUAAGUCCAGUUUAAUUGAUUCAAUUUCUUCUCAAUAGUUAUUUUUGAUUUAUUUUAUCAGUUGAAUGCUCAAGGUGAUAAUCUAUUAAAUUAACUUCCAGAUUGCCAAAUUAAGGUUAAGGAAGGUUCAGAGGGUAUUAAUGAAGACUUGUUUAAUUAAUUGGUCAUCUUAUGAUCUUCCUGAUGGACUGUCUGUUGGCCUUGGUUGCAUGAUGGUUCCUGUGCUGCUGCUCCUUCGUCCAAGGCUGUUGUCAACCAGUGGAGACCGUUUCCUGUGCUCAGCCGUUGUUGUUGCUGGCCUGAGCAUCACUCCUUGAGCAGGCGUUGUGCCAGUGCUCCAUGGUCCACGCAGGUUYCUGCUGUGGAGAUGAGUUUUGGUUCUCCRUGUUGACAUGCUGUGAGGAGCCAACGUCACCAGUCAGCAGCUUUAUAGGCACUUUUCCUCCAGUGCCAAAGUUGUCAAAGUUGCCAUAUGCAACUCUAUCAUGGCCAACAGUUCCAUCUCUUAGUGAUGAGUGAGUAAUAUUGUAACUAUUUGAGUUGUUGUAUUCCACCUGUGAUCAAUUAAUUGUUUUAUUAAAUUUUAUUCACUGCCACACUUAAUUUUGAUCAAUUAUAAUUGUUGCUUUGUCCAUGUCUUUAUGUUCCAAACUGCAGAGGUCUCCCAUAACAAAACAAUUCACCACUAUAUUAACUAUAAUUUAAAAAGCAGUAAGUAGCUUAUUACAAAAAGUUUUAUUUUUUCUAUCCAGAAUACGUUUUCCCAUAACCUACUAUUAGCUAUUAUUGCACUGAUUCACUGUGUUUCCUGUGUAUAUUAAUGAGUAAUGGUAAUCAUGAGCAGCAAAUUCCUAAUAGUGUAUGCUGCUCCAUUAAUACAUUUCCAUGUAAUCAACAGUCAUUUGCCAGUUAGUUGUUUUUUGCAACUGUUCCUGAGGCGAUAAAGUUGUUCCAACUUGUUCUCACUGCGGUCAUUCUCAGCAUUGAAAAGACUCAAAACACACAGCCGGAACAGGACCGAUCAAGGAAGGCUUUCUUCCCUGGCAGUGAUCUCUAUUGAGACGGAGAGACUUUUAAAACUGAAGGAAAAUAAGGAAGACUUUUACCAGAAAGUGACAGAUGUUUUUGCACAGAAGGAGCGGCGCAUGGACUUCAUUUAUAAGUAAAGCCUAGGCGCAGAUUCAAUCUGGAAGCCUCACCUGCCUUAUCAAUCAGCGCCUCACUCUCUUCACCCUGGACCUAUCAGCGUUGGAUCAAACCUCGCUUCGGCCACUCAUCGUUCGAGCUCCAGUUGAAAACUACCUUCUGGCCACGGCCUUUUCCGCUUACCACAUGCGAUCAAUCCGUUCAGCUGCUCACCACAGCUUCUCAGCCAGCAAUCUCACCAGAUCCUUUUCUUCGUGAUUCCCUGUCUUUUCACCCAUGAUCCUGCUGACAUUAGGGCAGCUUAAUCGCAUGCUCGGCUCUUCCCCCUCAAUCGCAAGAGAAUUUAUCCUGGCCCUGGCUUCAAUCACUUUUAGCAGCUCUCGCCGCUCUCUCGCCUGGCUGCAAUUCACCGUUUCCUGCUCCUUCGCCAUCUUUGUCAGGAUCCAUCUAGGCAAGCAGGCACUUAAUCCCACCAUUAACAUUCCCAGGCCGUCUCUCUUCACCUCAGGCCCUGGCACGAGCCGAUCAUGUCACCAUUUCCUCCCAGCUCAUCGUCCAUCUUCUCUCCAUUUCACCAUCGCCUUCCCACCGGUUCCCCGCUCUGAAUCAGCCACAUCAACAGCUUCUCUCCUUCCACAUGGCUUCUGUAAGCCCGCUCAUCAGCGCCUCCCCUCGGAUCUCUCGCGCUACGUCCGUCUCGGGCUGUCGGGGUUUCAUCCAGAUUGACCUCAUCUCAUCCACAUCCUCUGUCACCCUGUGAGGCUAACCUUACCUCUAGCAUCUCGUCUCCUGUAGCAAGAAGUCAUCUCCUUCCUUUUUUAACCUAUUCCCUCUUUUUCAUUUUCUUGUCAUCCUAGUAAUGCACAGCUGGCCCCUUCCACCUGCUAAAUAUUAUUUCAUAGCAUCACCCCAGCUGGCCUUAAUC